rnacentral:rRNA from 1 species
CAGUCGCCGCGGGAAUACGUAGGGUGCAAGCGUUAAUCGGAAUUACUGGGCGUAAAGCGUGCGCAGGCGGUUAUAUAAGACAGAUGUGAAAUCCCCGGGCUCAACCUGGGAACUGCAUUUGUGACUGUAUAGCUAGAGUACGGCAGAGGGGGAUGGAAUUCCGCGUGUAGCAGUGAAAUGCGUAGAUAUGCGGAGGAACACCGAUGGCGAAGGCAAUCCCCUGGGCCUGUACUGACGCUCAUGCACGAAAGCGUGGGGAGCAAACAGGAUUAGAGACCCCAGUAGUCCCUGUCUCUUAUAC